UAAAGCAGAAAAGAGCGCAGAGUGAAUGCCUUGGCAUUGGGAGCCGAUGAAGGACGUGGUUAACUGCGAUAAGCUGCGGGGAGUUGUAAGCAAGCAUUGAUCCGCAGAUUUCCGAAUGGAGCAAUCCGCAUGAAGUAGUUCAUGCAUCCAUACGUGAAUUCAUAGCGUAUGGAGGGGAACCGCCUGAACUGAAACAUCUAAGUAGGGCGAGGAAAAGAAAUCAACCGAGAUUCCGUAAGUAGUGGCGAGCGAACGCGGAAGAGGCUAAACCAAGAGAAGAAAUUCUGUUGGGGUUUUGGACUGCAAACGGUAUUCUCAAUCUUUAGUCAAACAGUCUGGGAAGGCUGACCGGAGCGUGUGAUAGUCACGUAGACGAAAAGGAGUGAGAGCUAGCAGUAUCCAGAGUACCGCGGGGCACGUGAAAUCCCGUGGGAAGAUGGGGGGACCACCCUCCAAGCCUAAAUACUACCCAAUGACCGAUAGCGUAAAGUACUGUGAAGGAACGGUGAAAAGAACCCCGGGAGGGGAGUGAAAAGAACCUGAAACUCUGUGCUUACAAGCACAUAGAGCACGUCAAAGUGUGAUAUGGUACCUUUUGUAGAAUGGUCCGGCGAGUUAUGGUAUGCAGCGUGGUUAAGGACUUGAGGUCUGAAGCCGAAGCGAGAGCGAGUCUGACAAGGGCGAGAAGUUGUAUGCCAUAGACCCGAAACCGGGUGACCUAGCCAUGUCCAGGCUGAAGUGGAGGUAAAACUCCAUGGAGGGCCGAACCGACCUCCGUUGAAAAGGCGGCGGAUGAGAUGUGGCUAGCGGAGAAAUUCCAAUCGAACCCGGAUAUAGCUGGUUCUCCCCGAAAUAGCUUUAGGGCUAGCGUUGUAUUAGAUUGCCGGAGGUAAAGCACUGAAUGGGCUAGGGGCUGAGAAGUUACUGAACCCUAUCAAACUAAGAAUGCCGGACAAUUGAUGUACAGCAGUCAGACUAUGUGAGAUAAGUCUCAUAGUCAAAAGGGAAACAGCCCAGACCCACAGCUAAGGUCCCAAAAUGGAUUUAAGUGGAAAAGGAUGUGGAAUUGCACAGACAACCAGGAUGUUGGCUUAGAAGCAGCCACUCAUUAAAAGAGUGCGUAAUAGCUCACUGGUCGAGUGACUCUGCGCGGAAAAUAUAACGGGGCUAAGCAUGAAACCGAAGCUUGGGCUUGUCGUAAGACAGGGGUAGGGGAGCGUCGAGUAUGGGGUGAAGUCAGAGCGGAAGCACUGGUGGACUGUACUGGAGUGAGAAUGCCGGAAUGAGUAGCGAGAAUUAUGUGGGAAUCAUAAUGGCCGAAAAUCUAAGGUUUCUUGGGGAAGGUUCGUCCGCCCAAGGUAAGUCGGGAGCUAAGCUCAGGCCGCGAGGCGUAGGCGAUGCACAUACGGUAGAAAUUCCGUAACCACCGAACUUUAAGCAUGAGGGACACUUUGAGAUAGCGGAACCCGGGCGUUGGUUGACCCGGGCGAAAGGGACCGAAAUAUAGUAGGGAAGUCCGCGAUGCUCGGAGGCGAGAAAAGCUCAUGUGUAUACUAAGGUGCCCGUACCGCAAACCGACACAGGUAGAUGAGGAGAGAAUCCUAAGGCCAACGGGAGAAGGGUUGUUAAGGAACUCGGCAAGAUGACCCCGUAACUUCGGAAGAAGGGGAGCCUCGAAAGAGGCCGCAGUGAAUAGGCCCAAGCAACUGUUUACCAAAAACACAGGUUUAUGCUAAAUCGAAAGAUGACGUAUAUGAGCUGACGCCUGCCCGGUGCCGGAAGGUUAAGAGGAGAUGUCAACCGCAAGGUGAAGCAUUGAAUUGAAGCCCCGGUAAACGGCGGCCGUAACUAUAACGGUCCUAAGGUAGCGAAAUUCCUUGUCAGGUAAGUUCUGACCCGCACGAAUGGCGU
rnacentral:rRNA from 1 species